CGCCGGUUGUGGUUUAGCUGAACUGAGCCGAAAUCCUAAAGGCCGCGGAGUCGGCGGUGAUGUAGGUAGCGGUGCCUUGAGUGGCAACAGAAUUCAAUUACAAUGGGAAACAUUUUUGAAAAGCUCGUUAAGAGUCUACUUGGGAAAAAAGAGAUGCGGAUUCUUAUAUUGGGUUUGGAUACAGCUGGAAAAACGACCAUCUUGUAUAAAUUGAAGCUGGGGGAGACUGUGCCUACCAUCCCUACAGUAGGUUUCCAUAUGGAGACGGUAGAAUAUAAAAAUAUCACCUUCACAGUCUGAGAUGUUGGCAGCCACUUCAAAAUGAGACCUCUGUGGCAGCAUAUUUUCCAGAACACAAAAGGUCUGAUUUUUGUGGUUGACAGUAAUGACAGAGAGCGGAUUGAUGAGGCCCGGGAAGUACUAACUUACUUAUUAGAGGAGGAUGAGCUCAGAAAUGCAGUUUUAUUGGUAUUUGCCAAUAAACAGGAUCUCCCUAAUACUAUGAACGCGGCAGAGAUAACAGACAAGCUCGGCCUCCAUUCCCUCCGCUACGGAAACUGGCACAUUCAGGCUACUUGUGCCACUACCGGACAUGGGCUUUAUGAAGGCCUGGACUGGCUCGCCAACCAGCUCCAGAACCAGAACUGACCAGAAGGAUCUAUUCUUUGUGCCUUGUGGCCACAUCGGCUGGCCUCUGCUGCGUGCACGUGUACCUGUGUGCUGGGAGUGGAGGCAGCUUUCUCACAGUGCCUUAUCCAUGCCAUAAGAAAAGCAGGUUACAUUUUAAGAAACCCAGUGUUAAGUUUUAAACACCACCUUCCAUUUCAGUAGCUUUAAUGAUCAUUUUUGCAGUUGAUGGAGAAGUCCAGAGGGCUUGCUAGUGCUCGAAGGCCAGAGCGGGCUUCAUGGUGGAAAGGAGGAGGAGAAUUGGAGUGGGAACUGAGUUCAGCUGUUGCAAUCCUGGUCUGGCAUCUGGAGUCCUGUUAGUCUUUGGUGUCCUUUCGUAAAAAGGAAGGAAUUGUCAUUCUUUUUUUUUUUUUUAAAUCAUAUUUUUACUGUACCUUUUCAUGUUUAUUUUUUAUUAAAAAUUUUCUUUUU